GACAAACGCUGGCGGCGUGUCUUAAGCAUGCAAGUUGAGCGGCAAGGAGGAGAGAUCCUCCCUAGAGCGGCGGACUGGUGAGUAACGCGUGGGUAAUCUAUCGUAGGCAUGGGGAUAGUCACUAGAAAUAGUGGGUAAUACCGAAUACGUUCCAUGAGGGGAGUAUUCAUGGAAGAAAGGGUGCUACGGCACUGGCCUUAGGUGAGCUCGCGUCCCAUUAGCUAGUUGGUGAGGUAAAGGCCCACCAAGGCGAUGAUGGGUAGCCGGCCUGAGAGGGUGUACGGCCACACUGGGACUGAGAUACGGCCCAGACUCCUACGGGAGGCAGCAGCUAAGAAUAUUCCGCAAUGGACGAAAGUCUGACGGAGCGACGCCGCGUGGAUGAAGAAGGCCGAAAGGUUGUAAAGUUCUUUUGCUAGGGGGAAUAAGUGAGGGGAGGGAAUGCCCUCAUGAUGACAAGGACUAGCGAAUAAGCCCCGGCCAACUACGUGCCAGCAGCC
rnacentral:rRNA from 1 species